GACCGCUCCGGCUGUCUAGUGGUAAGAGCGUCCGCCUCGGAUGCGAGAGGUCGCGGGUUCGAACCCCGGCCGAGUCA